rnacentral:rRNA from 1 species
UUACCAAGGCGAUGAUGCAUAGCCGAGUUGAGAGACUGAUCGGCCACAAUGGAACUGAGACACGGUCCAUACUCCUACGGGAGGCAGCAGUAGGGAAUCUUCCACAAUGGGCGCAAGCCUGAUGGAGCAACACCGCGUGAGCGAAGAAGGGUUUCGGCUCGUAAAGCUCUGUUGUUGGAGAAGAACGUGCGUGAGAGCAACUGUUCACGCAGUGACGGUAUCCAACCAGAAAGUCACGGCUAACUACGUGCCAGCAGCCGCGGUAAUACGUAGGUGGCAAGCGUUAUCCGGAUUUAUUGGGCGUAAAGCGAGCGCAGGCGGUUGCCUAGGUCUGAUGUGAAAGCCUUCGGCUUAACCGAAGAAGUGCAUCGGAAACCGGGCGACUUGAGUGCAGAAGAGGACAGUGGAACUCCAUGUGUAGCGGUGGAAUGCGUAGAUAUAUGGAAGAACACCAGUGGCGAAGGCGGCUGUCUGGUCUGCAACUGACGCUGAGGCUCGAAAGCAUGGGUAGCGAACAGGAUUAGAUACCCUGGUAGUCCAUGCCGUAAACGAUGAGUGCUAGGUGUUGGAGGGUUUCCGCCCUUCAGUGCCGGAGCUAACGCAU